GACAGAGGGUGCAAACGUUGCUCGGAAUUACUGGGCGUAAAGCGCGUGUAGGCGGUCACGCAAGUCAGGUGUGAAAGCCCAGGGCUCAACCCUGGAAGUGCACAUGAUACUACGUGGCUGGAGUACUGAAGAGGAGAGCGGAAUUCCCGGUGUAGAGGUGAAAUUCGUAGAUAUUGGGAGGAACACCAGUGGCGAAGGCGGCUCUCUGGGCAGAUACUGACGCUGAGACGCGAAAGCGUGGGUAGCAAACGGG
rnacentral:rRNA from 1 species